rnacentral:tRNA from 2 species
GCCCACGUAGUUCAGUAUGGAUAGAACGCAGUCCUCCUAAGACUGAUGUCACAGGUUCGAGUCCUGUCGUGGGCA